GGAUUGUAGCUCAGGGGUAGAGCGCUUGCCUAACACAUUUGAGGGACUGGGUUUGAUCCUCAGCACCA
rnacentral:tRNA from 1 species